rnacentral:rRNA from 1 species
UACGUAGGCAGCAAGCGUUGUUCGGAGUUACUGGGCGUAAAGGGUGUGUAGGCGGUUGUUUAAGUUUGGUGUGAAAUCUCCCGGCUCAACUGGGAGGGUGCGCCGAAUACUGAAUGACUUCGAGUGCGGGAGAGGAAAGUGGAAUUCCUGGUGUAGCGGUGAAAUGCGUAGAUAUCGGAAGGAACAUCAGUGGCGAAAGCGGCUUCCUGGACCAGCACCGACGUUCAGACGAACGAAGCGUGGGGAGCAAACAGG